GAGUCUCUCGGAUGAUAGGAUGCCCAUCUCCAAACCUGUCCACUCUCCGGAUCUAAUCGAUCACCAUAGCAGAAUCUUUCUCAAGACACACUCGCAUAGCACCAAGUACCCGCCUCGCAUAGUAUAUGCCUUCUCAGGCUGCCCAAAGCUCCACCCGAACCACAGUAAGUCCAGGCAUACGCUGGCCACCAACUGCUAUCAGUCUGCCUAGGUGAUCUCUAAUCACAAAUUUCACUCCUCCAGAUGCACCAUCCACCGACCUGCUACCGUUGAAGUUUACUUUGAGAUGACCAAAGGAUGGGGGAACUCAAUGAACUAGGAUAAACCUGGGCGCUAUGACAGUGGCAAGAGUAUCCCAAAUGUCCCUAGCCAUCUCGAAAGAGGAUAAAGCACGGCAGUGGUGACCUCCCUCGCAUGAACCAUAGGUCUGUCCACC
rnacentral:lncRNA from 1 species